GACGAACGCUGGCGGCGUGCCUAAUACAUGCAAGUCGAACGCAGUGGGGACGGGUGAGUAACACGUGGGUAACCUCCCAUCAGAGGGGAUAACACUUGGAAACAGGUGCUAAACCGAUACUGAUGGAUGGACCCGGGGUGCAUUAGCUAGUUGGUGAGGUAACGGCUCACCAAGGCCACGAUGCAUAGCCGCCCGAGGAGGUGGUCCGGCAACACGGGGACGGAGACACGGCCCAGACUCCGCCGGGAGGCAUAAGUAGGGAAUCUUCGGCAAUGGACGAAAGUCUGACCGAGCAACGCGGCGUGAGUGAAGAGGGUUUUCGGAGCUUAAAACUCUGUUGUUAGAGAAGCGGUAUCUAACCAGAAAGCCACGGCUAACUACGUGCCAGCAGCCGCGGUAAUAC
rnacentral:rRNA from 1 species